ACAGUGACCCAGCACCAGAACGCCCAGAGGAGAGGUUUGGCACAUAACAGGCUGGGGAGAAACCUUCAUCAACUUAGGGUUCCCAGGCCAGCUUUGUCCGGGCUCUGGAUUGUCCUCUGAGAUAUCUCAACAAACAAAAUGCCAGAAGGCUCAACUUCUAUGAGGCCCCAUGGGAA
rnacentral:lncRNA from 1 species